CCUCAGCCUCCCAGAUAGCUGGGACUACAGUAGGUUUCUGCAAACAAACUGAACACCAUUGAAAUCCAUUUCUAAAAUAGAGGAAAAGAUUUGUCUAAAUUAGAAGUGCUUUAGUAGCCCUGCUGUUGACUGCCUAGCAACAAAAGCACAAAGCAAUGGAGAGGAAAGAUUUUCUGCUGAAAAAUCACUGAUCCACUGGAGGCAAAAGACUCAAGAUUUAAUCACAUCUAUUAAGUAAGGCUGCAACUUUACUUCUGCCCUUCCUCAUUUACCAAAGGACAAGGGAAUGAAAAAUGGAAGCUCUAAUGGCUUAGUUUACACUCCUGCUAAUUUCAAACAGAUUUCCAGAUUGCACAGCUUUUAAAAUGAAAGAACUUUUCCUCAGAAUGACCCUGUGACAGACAAACGCUAAAGUGACUCCAACGAUCCCUGCUCUGCUGACAGAGAGAUCCUCCUUACUGGCUUAAUGAAGUGGCCACGUGGACCACAGGCAGCCUCUACAACAGCCAGUCAGAAACUCAAGCCCUCAGUGCUACAGCAAUGAUUACUGCCAACAGCCUGAGUGAGACUGGAAGCAGAUUCUCCCCUGACUGAACUUGCAAUUGAGAUAGCAGCCUGGUCAACACCUUGAUUAUAGCCUUGUGAGGCCCAGAGCAGAAGACCCAUCUAAGCCAUGCCUGGACUCCUGACACAGAAACUGAGAGAUAAGAAGUGUGUGUUAAACUGCUAUAUUUACGGAAAUUUGUUAGGCAGCAAUAUAAAACUGAUACCAUCACCAACAUAAUAAUUCAUGAAAAUAAAAAUCAACAUUGACAUCUGAUAAUGCUGGCUAAUUGCAGUAUGCCGAGAAAGGGUGCUAAGAUACACCAACUCUAUGUGCCCCGAGCGUUUCUUUCCCGAUUGUUCAUAAAUAAAAUACAAGUUCUCCCUCUGCUACCAUGACAUGCUAUUUCACAUGCUGGCAUGUAACUGUCUUUGCAAAUGUGCUAAUACUAAAGUAGAUGCUGAGAGGAGCUGUUUUUUUAAUAUGGAAAUAAAAUAUCUUCAUU